rnacentral:rRNA from 1 species
UACGGAGGGGGCUAGCGUUGUUCGGAAUUACUGGGCGUAAAGCGCACGUAGGCGGACCAGCAAGUUGGGGGUGAAAUCCCGGGGCUCAACCCCGGAACUGCCUUCAAAACUGCGGGUCUGGAGGUCGAGAGAGGUGAGUGGAAUUCCGAGUGUAGAGGUGAAAUUCGUAGAUAUUCGGAGGAACACCAGUGGCGAAGGCGGCUCACUGGCUCGAACCUGACGCUGAGGUGCGAAAGCGUGGGGAGCGAACAGG